UGGGUUGUGAUUCAGUGGUAGAGUGCUUGCCUAGCGUACAUGAGGCACUGGGUUCGAUCCCCAGCACCACAU
rfam:Ictidomys tridecemlineatus contig054241, whole genome shotgun sequence.